AAAUGAGGAGUUGCGGGGGAGGGGCUCCGUUGCUUCAGAUCCAUCCCGGGCUUUCCAUCUCACCAUGUGCUUUUUUUUUUUUUUUUUUUUUUUUUUUUUAAUGUGCCAGGAAUUCCUCUCCCACGUGGGGUGGACUCCGAGGUACUCAAUUAAGCAGCCAAUGAAAAGUCAGCUCUCCGGUAGCAAAUGACCCUGACACUUCUUGUAACAUAAACAGUUGAAACGCUUCCAAUUAGAACUGGAGACAGAGCUGUUUGAAGUCUUUUUCUUCAGUCCCCUCCUUUUAAAAUUAAUUGUCAAGCGCUUCGGACAGGGUGCUGCCGGGUGCUGGCGCCUGGGUUCACACGAGAACUCAAUGUGGAGGUUGCCUUGCACCAGCUCACGCUGACUCGUGGAGUCCUUGGGAGCACCACUGCCCGGCAGGAGACACAGAGACUGGAGACAGAGCUGCAGUGCUUUUCUGUACACAGUCCGCAUAGACUCGACCUGGGAGCCCAGGGCCUCCGUGACCGCCAGCGGGAGGGCGCCGUCGGAGCCAGUCCGGAGGGAGACCGAGGAGAAGGAGGCAGAGCUAGGCGCCUUGGCCCUGUCAUCUUGAAGGCAUUGUGUUUAAUAAAUCUGGGCGACAAGCACACCCUCUAUCUCCCCCCUCUCUUCUCGGCUCCCAAAUCAAGACCUGCUGUAGGACCCCCAGUUUAAGGGGUCUUAAAACCUCUGUACUUUGAUUAGCAGCUUCAAAGAGAUCCCUUUAAAGUUCUCCUUUCUCCCUAACCCUAUAUCUCCUCCCCCUUGACACCCCUCCUCCACCAUUCCUAGGACCAGGACAACAAAACACUAAAAUGCAAGUUUAAAGGGGGGCGGUGGAGAGGGAGAGUCUCAGACUUCCUCCUCAACGCGGUCCAUAGAAAUUACCUAUUUCAGAUGUGCGCACGAGUCGGAGCAUCGUGGAGUUUGGGUUUUGAUUUUCUUUCUUUUUUCUUUCUUUUUUCUUUCCUUUUUUUUCUUGUUCUUUUUUUUUUUUACAGGGUUUGUGUGUGUUUUUACCUUUUAUUAUUUAAAUUGAUACGUUUCAUUACUAGGGAGAAAAAUAAAAUAUUCCUUUGAUACACAAAAUCAAAUUGAUAUUUAGCCUCUGCUUACUUUUUUAUGCAUGGCUCCUUUAUACCACAUGGUAGUGACAGAUUGUUUGAGCUGGAAGGAAAAGCCAUUCAAAGCUAAUUAAGCAGC
rnacentral:lncRNA from 1 species